UAAAAAUAAAAUUCAACUCAAGCUGCAACCAUUAGUUGUGUAUUUCUUUAUGUUUGUGUUUGUCAACAGCCUACACGUCCAAAGAGGACAAAUCCAUAACCGAUGUGGUCACUCCUGUCAGCAGAUGGUCUCCACAAGAGGAGGCGCAGCUCCGCAUGGAUCCCAUAGCGGAGGAGAACGUCGAGAUGCCCGAGGCUCGGACUGACACAGAACAAAGGGACAUGCUGAGCUGGAUCUCCUCCAGCUUGCAGAGGUUUGGGGAAGUCACCUUUGACUCUCUGGUGCCCCCGGAGGCCAACCGCACCACUGCAGCACACACGCUCUAUAAACUGCUAGAGCUGCUGUCUGCCCGACAGGUGACCGUCCAACAGACUGAACCGUUCAGUAACAUCUGCAUCAGGACGGCCGCGUGAACACACACAACAUACACACUAUAGUCCUGUAGAGGUACAGUUAAUAGUCUUUUUAUCGAUGAAUAUAAUGUAUGAAUGUAACCCUUUCGCUUUUAGUGACGCAUUAUAUCAUCACAUCAGAUCUCAC
rnacentral:lncRNA from 1 species